GUGUUGGAUUACUUUCAAUUGUUAUCCCGCGGCACCCACAUAUCCCCAACAGCCAGCCUAUCGAGUUCGAGUUGAAGAUCAGCGAGUAGGAGGCUUUAAUCAACCACAAGCUAUCAGCAACUAAAAUCCAGUUCAAACGGAUCCGAUUCUUUCAUUGAGUUUUCCUUCCGACCCAGGUAAUCUUAGAGCGACAUAUCGUCUGAACCAUAUAGACGCACCGUACUUGGUCUAUAUCGUCAUAGAUACGAAAAAGUGGAAAAGCGAUUUGCUGGGUCAACUAAUCGGUCAAACCCGCUACUGCUCAGGUUUUUUGGUUUCAGAAACACGCGUUUUGACUGCAGCGCAUUGCAAGGAUCAAAUGAGAGAUAAUGGAUACAUGAGUCUUUAUUUCACAAAUGGUGACAAAAGAAAAGUAAUUUAUGAAAAUAUAAUAAUUCAUGAUGACUAUGAUAAUCUUGACAUGGACUA